UGGGGAAUUACAGAAGCCUGUGAACACUGCAUCUUAGAUGUGGGAUUGUUCUUCAUUGUAGUGAGAGCUAAGAAAAGAAGCAGCACUUGGCACCCUUAGUCACCCAAAUUAAGCAAUUAUUCUGAUCCCCCAUUCGAAAUGAAUUGGUAUCAUGAGAACAAAGAGGCAACAUGCAUAUUGCCAAAUAUUUGGCCCAUAUUUUAUUUUGUUUCCUUUCUUUCUCCACCACUGGCAGCAGCCCAUUAUGCUAAGAAAUACCCCCUAUUUGGUUAUGAAGUUAAUGUGGAGAUUAAAAGUCAUUCCCUCUUCUACCCACACCCUUUUUCUUGUGUAUGGCAUGUGACCGAGCUGAUUGGAAGGCGUAUAGCCCAGUGGCCAAGCACUUGGGCCUCAGUGUGAUGGCUGAUGCAUGUUUCUGACUCUGUCCCUUUCUAUUUUGUUGUGGACAAGCCUCGGCUUUCUCAGCUGUCAAAUGUGAGUGACAACAGCUCUACACAUAGUCCUAUAGCAAUUAAAUGAAAGCAUUUAGGGCCAGGCAUAGUUGCUUAUCACGGUAAUCCCAGCAUUUAGGGAGGCCAAGGCAGGACAAAGUGGGCUCUGGUCUUUGAGCCCUAGAGUUUGAGACUAGCCUGGGCAACAUAGCGAGACCCUGUCUCUUUAAAAAAAAAAAAGAAAAAUCUUAAAAAUUAACGAGGCGUGGUGACAUGUGUCUAUAGUCCCAGCUACUCAGGAGGCUGAGGCAGGAGAAUUGCUUGAGCCUAGGAGUUUCAAGACUGCAGUGAGCUAAGAUCAUGCCGCUGCACUCCAGCCUGAGUGACAGAGUGAGACUUUGUUAUCUAAAAAAAUAAAAUAAAAAUAUAUGAAGGCAUCUGGCUCAGUGCCUGGUCCAUAGUAACUGCUCAAUAAAUGUUAGCUUUUGUUCAUUUUACUUGAGGUAAAAUGAGAGAGGACGCUUGAAAAAAGAGGAAGACUAAUAUUUUGAUGCAUGUGUAUCACCGUAUUUUGAUUAAAUCUUUUCCAAUUUUGCCAACACUACAGUAUACUGCAACACAAAAGAUUUUAUCUGUAAACACAAAGCCCUUCAUCUAAUACUUGUUGCUAUUGCCAAUUUUUUCAAUGAAAUGACCUAAAAACAACAACAACAAAAAUAACCUAUACGGUAGUUGCUUUAGGAGGUGGAGGGAUGCUAUCUGUUAGUGCUUAAAAGGGGGUAAAUGCUUGCCGCUUUAGAGGUGGAUGGUGCUCAUAAGAGGCCCCAGUCCGGGGUAUUUAAAACAGACUGAACAGAAAUCCUUAGCUAGUAGAAUGGCAGCACGCUGUAAAGUUAUUACUGUAUUGUGUACUGGCUAUAAGAUAUAGACACCUUUCAGUAAGCCAGUCAUUUGUAACCAUUCUAGCAGUGUCAUAUUAGGUUAAUAAGGCUGCUGUGUUUUCAAGGGCAUUUUUAUUUGGGUUUUGGUGAAAUUCUUUAAUUUGUUGAUUAUAUUCACAUAAAAUCAGCAUUCAUUAACACAGAGCUCUAAUGACAUAUGUAUGAAAAACCGUACACUGGAUGACCUAGUCGAUUAUUUAAGCAUAAAAUAAAUUGUGUUAAACUCUUCACCUAAAAAAAAAAAAAAAAGAAAGAAAAAAG
ensembl:lncRNA